rfam:Schistosoma mattheei strain Denwood, Zambia genome assembly, scaffold: SMTD_scaffold0016071
AGCAAAGACGAGUUCCAAACAGGACGAAACGCGCGUCCUGGAU